rnacentral:rRNA from 1 species
GUGGGCCUACGGGGGGCAGCAGUGGGGAAUAUUGCACAAUGGGGGAAACCCUGAUGCAGCGACGCCGCGUGAGUGAGGAAGUAUUUCGGUAUGUAAAGCUCUAUCAGCAGGGAAGAAAAUGACGGUACCUGACUAAGAAGCCCCGGCUAACUACGUGCCAGCAGCCGCGGUAAUACGUAGGGGGCAAGCGUUACCCGGAUUUACUGGGCGUAAAGGGAGCGUAGACGGAGGAGCAAGUCUGAUGUGAAAAUCCGGGGCCCAACGCCGGAACUGCAUUGGAAACUGUUACUCUAGAGUGUCGGAGG